rnacentral:misc_RNA from 1 species
GAUGAAGAACGCAGCGAAAUGCGAUAAGUAAUGUGAAUUGCAGAAUUCAGUGAAUCAUCGAAUCUUUGAACGCACAUUGCGCCCGCCAGUAUUCUGGCGGGCAUGCCUGUUCGAGCGUCAUUUCAACCAUCAAGCCCCAGGCUUGUGUUGGGGACCUGCGGCUGCCGCGGGCCCUGAAAACCAGUGGCGGGCUCGCUGUCACACCGGGCGUAGUAGAUUUUAUCUCGCUCAGGGCGUGCUGCGGGUUCCGGCCGUUAAAAAGCCUUUUUUACCCAAGGUUGACCUCGGAUCAGGUAGGAAGACCCGCUGAACUUAAGCAUAUCAAUAAGCGGAGGA